CGCUGCGGGCCUCUCUGGCCGGUGAUUUGCCCGGGCGCCUCCGUGCGCUCGGCCAACGGCCUCUGACAGCGCCCACCCGAGCGCCCCGGGAGCCGGCGAGCGGCGGUCCUCGCCAGCGACUUUCAGCGGGCGCAGGGGGACAAAAGUGGCUCUAAAUCCAGCACAUGCAUAUUGAAGCAAGUUAAAGGAUUUAAUAUGAAGCACAGAAACAGAUAAUGCCAAAAAGCAAGCAGUAGUUGGUACACAUUUCUGGAAAAGCAGUUUCCGUGUUGUUAUGUACACCUCCAAAAAAAUUCAGAUCUGUAGGGGAAUUGUUGUGUAAAGUAAACUGAACUACAGGGAGGCAGUAUUUUAAUAGCUAUUAUAAACGUGUAUUUACUGUAUUAAAAAUGAGUAAAAGAACAAGCAAUGACACGUCCCUAGGAAGAGUGAGUGGGGCAGCAUUUCCUUCUCCCAGUGCUGCUGAGAUGGCGGAAAUUAGUCGAAUUCAAUAUGAAAUGGAAUACACCGAAGGUAUUAGUCAGCGAAUGAGGGUCCCGGAAAAAUUAAAGGUAGCACCACCAAAUGCUGACCUGGAACAAGGAUUCCAAGAAGGAGUUUCAAAUGCUAGUGUGAUUAUGCAGGUUCCAGAGAGAAUUGUUGUAGCAGGAAAUAAUGAAGACAUUCCAUUUUCAAGACCAGCAGAUCUUGACCUUAUACAGUCAACUCCCUUCAAACCUCUGGCACUAAAAACACCACCUCGUGUACUUACGCUAAGUGAAAGACCACUAGAUUUUCUGGAUUUAGAAAAACCUCCUCCAACCCCUCAAAAUGAAGAAAUCCGUGCAGUUGGCAGGCUAAAAAGAGAGCGCUCUAUGAGUGAAAAUGCUGUUCGCCAAAACGGACAGCUGGUCAGGACUGACUCCAUUGUGACACCAUCGCCACAACAGGUUCGGGUUUGUCCUCCCCGUAUGUUACCUGAAGAUGGAGCUAAUCUUUCCUCUGCUCGUGGCAUUUUGUCGCUUAUCCAGUCUUCCACUCGUAGGGCUUACCAGCAGAUCUUGGAUGUGCUGGAUGAAAAUCGCAGACCUGUAUUGCGUGGUGGGUCUGCUGCCGCCACCUCUAACCCUCAUCAUGACAACGCCAGGUAUGGCAUUUCAAAUAUAGAUACAACGAUUGAAGGAACCUCAGAUGACAUGACUGUUGUAGAUGCAGCUUCAUUAAGACGACAGAUAAUCAAACUAAAUAGACGUCUACAGCUUCUGGAAGAGGAGAACAAAGAACGUGCUAAAAGAGAAAUGGUCAUGUAUUCAAUUACUGUAGCCUUCUGGCUGCUUAAUAGCUGGCUCUGGUUUCGCCGCUAGAGAGUGGGAAUACCUUGAUGCUGUGACCUCCAGCUUGGCCUGGCGCCUGGUACAUGGACCAGCCCUGCCACUGGAGCCACACGGUGAUUCAGGAGAUGCUGACGCCUCGGCGGCUUUGCUGAGAUGCCGGUAACUGCUUAUGCACCAGACCAGCUGUGCUGUGCUCACCCCGGUUUUGUUAUUGCAGCAUGCUCUUUUCCUCGCUGCUAAGGACAUUGUUGUUGCUGGAAUGACCUGGAAAUGACAUCAACAGGAGCAAAGAAUAUUAUUACUUCUCAUCAGAUGAUAAAGCAAUAAUCUUCACUUUCUACUUGCCAGCAGUUGUGGGAAGCCAAGAGGCUUAAGAGAAUAAAAAGGAAAUGUGGCAAUGUCCUUGAUCUUGUGACCCUUAUGAUCCCCAUUUGGACCAUAAAGAUUAAAAAGGGGGAAAGGAUG